AUAACAAUACAGGACUCUUUCAAGGCCCUGUAAUUGGAAUGAGUACACUUGAAAUCCUUUAACGAGGAUCUAUUGGAGGGCAAGUCUGGUGCAGAGCGACUGACCCGUGUGUGCUGCAGCUGAAACUCCACUAUCGCCAGCUGCUG
rnacentral:rRNA from 1 species